rnacentral:rRNA from 1 species
UAAAAUUUAUAAAAUUAGGUAGUAAAGAAUUUUCUGAAACCUAAAGAAUUUGGCGGUAUUUUAAAUAAUUGGAGGAACCUGUUAUUUAAUUGACAUUCCACAACAUAUCUUACCUAAAUUUUAUUUGUAUAUCGUCGUUUUGAUAAUAUUCAAAAAUUAUUAUCGACUUUAAUAAAUUUUUUAAAAUCAGAUCAAGGUGCAGUAUAUUUAGGGUAUAAUGGGUUACAAUAUAAAAAUAUAUUACGAAUAUUAAAAUAAAUUUACAUUGAAGGUGGAUUCAAAAGUAAGGUUAAUUUAAAAUGUUAAUCUGAUUAAUAAUUUAAAAUAUGC